rnacentral:rRNA from 1 species
UACGUAGGGUGCGAGCGUUGUCCGGAAUUAUUGGGCGUAAAGGGCUGGUAGGCGGUUUGUCGCGUCGGGAGUGAAAACUCAGGGCUUAACCCUGAGCCUGCUUCCGAUACGGGCAGACUAGAGGUAUGCAGGGGAGAACGGAAUUCCUGGUGUAGCGGUGAAAUGCGCAGAUAUCAGGAAGAACACCCGUGGCGAAAGCGGCU